AGGACGAACGCUGGCGGCGUGCUUAACACAUGCAAGUCGAGCGGUAAGGCUCCUUCGGGAGUACACGAGCGGCGAACGGGUGAGUAACACGUGAGCAAUCUGCCCUUCACACUGGGAUAACCCCGGGAAACCGGGCUAAUACCGGAUGCGACCACCGACGGCAUCGUCUGGUGGUGGAAAGUUCCGGCGGUGGAGGAUGAGCUCGCGGCCUAUCAGCUUGUUGGUGGGGUAAUGGCCUACCAAGGCUUCGACGGGUAGCCGGCCUGAGAGGGUGACCGGCCACACUGGGACUGAGACACGGCCCAGACUCCUACGGGAGGCAGCAGUGGGGAAUAUUGGACAAUGGGCGAAAGCCUGAUCCAGCAACGCCGCGUGAGGGAUGACGGCCUUCGGGUUGUAAACCUCUUUCAGCAGGACGAAGCGCAAGUGACGGUACCUGCAGAAGAAGCACCGGCCAACUACGUGCCAGCACGCCGC
rnacentral:rRNA from 1 species